GUUCCUUGUUGACUUAUUUGGUGGCCCCUGAGAGAACAUCAGGAGAGCUUUAUUUAGAAAGGACACUGGGGGAGAGCAGAUUAAACAGGCUUCUGGCUGCAUUCAAUUUUCUCUAGUUUGGGGAGAUUUUGCACCUUUCUUGAAGAUUGUAUCAUCUGGGAUUAGCACAUUCCAUUUCCUGCACUCCUCAUAAAGCUGAGAACUAAAGAAAAUUAAAAUAAAGGUCAAUGAACACCCACGUUACCACCUUCUCCCCGGUCUUCAAAAUGAAGAAGAAACUGCACUGAAAAAAUCAUGCUUCAUAUGCUCCAACACAAAAGUCCCACUAUAAAAACCUGCAUCAGAAAGCCACUGUUUUCCCUGUGGACUCAUGUGGUGACUUGCAGCAUAUUCUUGGAAUGGGUGGCAGACAGCCUGGGUAAUUGGAAACUGUGAAGUAGAUGGUGGUAGUGGUGCUGUGCCACAGCCACCGUGGGCUAAGCUUGUGCCCUUUAGCUACCACAGCUCUUGAAGGAUUCAGCUAGGCAAUCAUAUACAUCAGGAGCUUAGUGCAGCCAAGUGACAAAUAGGGAUAAUUGGGUGCAGAUCAAAUGGGCUUUCUUAGUGUCCAUUCACAGGCAUGGGCAGACAAUGGCUUUCUAAGUAAGGAGAUGGCAAGGCAUGUGUGAAAAAUGGUCCCUUUGGCAAUAAUUCUGCUGGUGACAGAUAAUCAGAAAUUUAAAUGUUAUUCCCAUCUUUGGACAGCUCCUAAAAUAAUGGAGGAUGCAUGAAACCAUUUGUAUUUGAAGAGAGAAGCUAAAUAAUUUAAUAUUACAGAGAAGGAUGCACAGCACUGUACAGAAAAAUGAUGAAAUCCCAGUGCAGUCUAUCUUGUGCAGUUGCCACACUAAUUACAGAUCAAUUACUUCUCAGUUGUUUGCAACCUUAUCAAAGAAUAGUAAAUUUACUGAAAGCAAAAUGUGAUAAGAUGUCUUUUCAUUAUUAUGGUAGAUUUGUUGAAACAGCUCUGAUGUUAAGAUUAAUAAAAGCUUCCCCAGAGGUAAUGUGAUCUGUAUAUAUAUAGUCUGAAUUUUAAAAGUGGAAAACUUGAUCCUAGGCAGUAUCAUAAACAUUUUUGCUUCUAUUAAUUGUUAUCAUGAAAACAUCCUCAGUAUGGAGGAGGUGGAGGAAAGAAUAAAAUUAUUCUUUUGAUAUACUGAAAGCUUGUUAUUAAAAUAUAAGUGUACCUUUUACCUUCCACAGAUCAGAUAAUUAAUGAGAGUGAAGUACAAAACCUGAGAAAAUCUGCAAUUCAUGUUUUGGGCAGGGUGACAGCACAGAGAAGUACAGGGGGGAAAGGGAUGAGUUUUAUAGAAUAAAAUAGCAUGGAGGGAAGAAAGCAGUGAACCUACACAGUAUUAAAAAGAAUUAAAUACAGUUCUGUAGUUUUAGAAGAUCCACUACCCAGCAAAAUGUAUUGACUUUUUCCCACAACAUUUCCCAUGUCUUGACUUCUUCACCAGAAUUUCCACUGACUUGCCAUAUAAAUCCUGAGAGCAUUCUCAGCAUUAAUUGCGUAUCAUCAACAUUAACUUACAUUUCCUACAUUUGCCCUGAAAGUGCUUACGUUUUUACUGAUUCCAACUUUGGAAAUUCUGGAGAAUUAUUUUGAUUGCAGGGUUAUUAUCUUUCAGGUCUUUUACUGCAUUCUGGAUAGGGUUUGGUUUAGGUUCCCGUUUUGGUUUGCUUCUUGUUUGCUUAUUUGUUGUUUCUUGUUGGGUUUUGGAAGUUUUUUUCCUGCCAAAAUUGGCCAGACUUGAGAAAAAACAGUCUAGCUUUUAGGCAUCUGACAGCAAUAAUUUAAUGUUUUUGUUGUUAUGACAACAGUUUAAAAUAGCACAGCCAUUACUUUUUACUGAUCUACUCCCCUGCAACAAUGCAGUCACUCUUAUCAGGAGUGGGUCCUACUACACCGUCUAUGACUCCAGGACAAUUUAAUGAACUGGAAAAGGGACAAUUUUGAGGCUGCUCUUCAGUAGAUAAACUCAGGAAUUCUCUGUGGUGACACUCCAAGAUUAAACAACAUUUCAGGAUGCAAAAUUGCUGGUGAUUCAACACAACCGGUUCAGGUUGUGGAGAAGGCAGAUGGAGAACUGUUUAUUAUGGGUGGAGGAUAGCUGACAGCCAAAAGCACUGAGAUUGGUAGAAGGAUUCCUGCUAUACAGCAUCUGUGGCUGAUCAGGCAGAACAUGAAUCUCUCUUCUGUAUGCUGGUUUAACUCAAUUGACUUCAGAAGAAUUACUCUUGGUUUAUUCUGGUGAGAGAGGGAGAGGCAGCUAAUUUUCUACCUUAGAUGAGUUGCCAGCUGUCUUGAUUUGAAAAGACAGGUGUCUGCUAAGGAAGGCAGAAACUUCUCCUGAAAUGGAAAUAUGUAACCCUCCCCCUGCCCCGAAUUAUUAUAACUUGAAAUCAAGGGGCUCUCAGGCAAAGAUAUGGGAAGAGGAAUAACAGUUCUUUACUACGAAAAUUAAAAUUAAAAUGCAGUAGUACAGAAAAAACAAUGACAGUCAGAAUUCAACCUGACUCCCUGUUGUUCAGGGUGUUGGUAGCAGUCCCAUUAAAUGGUGGCUGCAGUCCUCCUGGAGUGACAGAUGUGGUUCUGUUGAAGCACUGAUCCUGUAGAAGGGUGUAGUUUUCCUCUGAACGUCCAGUGCUGGUGGAGAUGGGUCUGGUCUCUCUCCUCUGGGAAUCCAGUGGAGAAAGGCUGCCUGUGGUGUUCCAAGUCUCAGAUUAUAUCCAGGUAGGAAUGCUUGGCUCCUCCCCCUGGGUGGAGCAUCUCCCAAUGGGAUGAUGUGAUUUUAUCAGUCCUGCAGGGAGACUCAAUGCCCCAUUAACAGAAGAUCCCCCUGGAGGGAGGAUGGGUCCUGGAAGAGAUAAAGAACACUGCCCCACCUGGUUUUAACAGAUGGUAAUAGAAUACUUUCUUUUGGUUACAUCUUGCAUUGCAACCCAAAACUCAAGCACAGAAGAAGAAAUAUUUAGUUGGGGAAAAAAUGCAUGCACUAGCACAAUGUCCCACACAACUCAGUAAGUUUAGCUUAAGAAAUGUUUUCUCCUAGAAAAUGCCAAUAAACUACAGUAACAUUUUAUUUAAUGGUGUGGAAAAAUUCCACAUUAUAGCCAUAUGAGAAAUGUAUUUAAUUUUCUUUUUUUAAGCCAGUCAGCAAGUAAGGCAAGAGUGCAUAUUGCUAAGUUUGCUAGCACUGCCUAGAAGAGCAUAUUGAAAGAUUCCCUGAAAUGCACAAUUGGAUGCAAUGUUAAGAUGGAGUGCUUUGUGCUGCUGAAGAGCACUUUGAUGAACUGACUGGCUUCAGAUGCUGUGAAUCUCCAAUCUUGUUAUUGGCAGACAUUAAAACAACACUGUAAACCUUUUGUCUCUUAUUCUCUCCUGAUUAUACCAGACAUGGUGGCACAGAAUAAACAUGGCAAGGCAUCUUUGUGCUGGAGACAGUUUUAGCAAUAAAUACAGCCCUGGCAUAGACAGACACAACUCUUGUUGACUUCAGCUGGUGCUAUGCUGGAUUACUCUCGGUAUGGGUUUGAUUCUCAGUGUCUUUCUAGUAAUGAGUGCUCUGGCAAGAGCUUAAGCACUGCAAGGAGAGAAUUAGCAGCUCCAGCAUUAUCCAUGUGGUCAACAGACAUGAAGAAGAAGCAGGAGGCAGAAGGGAAAUAUUGUGUAUGCUUUACUGACUUGCAAAUGUACACUGGUUAAAACAGCAGCAAAGCACUGCAAAAUUAGGACUUCUUUUCUGCUCCCUUGUACCUGUACAUAGAUAAUACAUGUUUAAUACAGUUUAAGGAAUUUAUAGAGAUACAUUCACUGCAAGAAGUAGGUGACUAGAUAGCAAGGACUGUGAGAGGACUAAAUGUGAUUCUCUCUUCGAGAGGCAUUCACAGUGCUGAAAAAUAUUUCAUACAUAGUAGUUGCAAAGCAAUAUGUAUCCUACCUUGAAAAUUGUCGGUAUCUUUACAUGAAUAAGGAAGCUCACGUUGGCAGUACAAGAAGUCUGGGGAUGUUUAUGUAUGUUCUUGUUAAAACUGCUGUCUUUAA